AUGAGUUAUCAAACACACGAUGAAUUUACAUGAAUUCCAGAAUUUGUAUCCCACGAAAUUAUAAAUCUUCCAAAUCGUGAAUUCCCCGGACAAAUCCACCUCAAGUGUUCAUUUUGUAUUUGAACUAGAGAUUUAACUCAUGACUCAUCAUAUAUACACACUUGAAGGAAUAUAAUUUGUGGUGAGUUUUUAGUUGAGCUAGGGUUGGAAAAAUCAGCAACAUAUAUAGAGGAAACUGAGCAACUUCUGGUGGUUAAUUAGAUUCUGGAUGUGAUCAGGAAACUUGGGUUCUUGUUGGAAUUAUGUGCUGAUGAAUUUGUUUAAAGCAAAGUAGAGAUGAACCUCAAGUGAAUUAAUAAGACAGAGAGCUUGGGUUUUUGCAUCAAGAUGAUGUUGGUAGAGAUGUUUAGAUAUAGAGUUUGCAUGUAUCUGGAGAGGGUAAAAGUAAAUCGUUACUUUCCGAUACGGACAGGUAAAAAUUGGUUGAUUAGGCCAAAUUUUGAUGUUCAAAAUUUAAGGUAGCUAGAAAUAGAUGUAUGACAAAGGAUGAUGAUAAUUCUAAUUUCAUUGCGCGUAGGAACCAGAGAGUGAGAAUGUAUAUCCAUCUAGUCACCCUUGGUAUGUGCAACUACUGUUGUACCUAUUGAUGCAUGGAAGAUUAUAUAAUCAUCUCUCAUUCUCUACGAUCAUUUAUAUCUUGAUACACUUAUUUUUAGAUUAUUUUCUUAAUUGAAAGUUGAUAAAUUUAUAUGAAUGCACAUCGUUCUUGCG